rnacentral:rRNA from 1 species
UUUCCUAUCAGCUUGUUGGUGAGGUAAUGGCUCACCAAGGCUUACGGGUAGUUGGUCUGAGAGGAUGAUCAGCAACACUGGGACUGAGACACUGCCCAGACUCCUACGGGAGGCUGCAGUCGAGAAUCAUUGUCAAUGCACGAAAGUGUGAACAUGCGACGCCGCGUGGAGGAAGACGGCCUUUGGGUUGUAAACUCCUGUCAGCAGGGAGUAAGGAUGGCACCUUUAAUACAUGUGCCGUUUGAUAGUACCUGCAGAGGAAGUCACGGCUAACUCUGUGCCAGCAGCCGCGGUAAUACAGAGGUGGCGAACGUUGUUCGGAUUUACUGGGCGUAAAGGGUCCGCAGGCGGUCCGGUGUGUCAGAUGAGAAAGCCCACAGCUUAACUGUGGAAUUGCAUUUGAAACUGCCGGACUAGAGUACUGGAGGGGAGAAGGGAACACUUGGUGUAGCGGUGAAAUGCGUAGAUAUCAAGUGGAACACCGGUGGCGAAGGCGCUUCUCUGGACAGAUACUGACGCUCAUGGACGAAAGUUAGGGUAGCGAAAGGGAUUAGAUACCCCUGUAGUCCUAACCGUAAACGGUGUGCGCUAGGCGUGGGUGGCUUUACCCCCAUCCGUGCCUGAGCUAACGCAUUAAGCGCACCGCCUGGGGAGUACGGUCGCAAGAUUAAAACUCAAAGGAAUUGACGGGGACCCGCACAAGCGGUGGAGCAUGUGGCUUAAUUCGAUGCAACGCGAAGAACCUUACCUGGGCUUGACAUAUAGCUGCAUACGACCUGAAAGGGACGUAGCCUUCGAGGGUGCUAUACAGGUGCUGCAUGGCUGUCGUCAGCUCGUGCCGUGAGGUGUUGGGUUAAGUCCCGCAACGAGCGCAACCCCUGUGUUUAGUUGCCAGCACGUAAUGGUGGGAACUCUAAACAGACUGCCUGUGAAAACAGGAGGAAGGUGGGGAUGACGUCAAGUCAGUAUGGUCCUUAUGUCCAGGGCUGCACACGUGCUACAAUGGGAUGUACAGUGGGAAGCUAAGCCGCGAGGUGGAGCAAAUCCUCAAAACAUCCCCCAGUUCGGAUUGUAGUCUGAAACUCGACUACAUGAAGUUGGAAUCGCUAGUAAAGGCGUAUCAGCUACGACGCCUUGAAUACGUUCCCGGGUCUUGUACACACCGCCCGUCACAUCAUGGAAGUGAGUUGCACCCGAAGUUGCUGAUCCAACCCGUCAAGGGAGGAAGGUACCUAAGGUGUGAUUCAUAACUGGGA